UACGAAGGGGGCUAGCGUUGCUCGGAAUCACUGGGCGUAAAGCGCACGUAGGCGAAUCUUUAAGUCAGGGGUGAAAUCCUGGAGCUCAACUCCAGAACUGCCUUUGAUACUGGGAAGCUUGAGUCCGGGAGAGGUGAGUGGAACUGCGAGUGUAGAGGUGAAAUUCGUAGAUAUUCGCAAGAACACCAGUGGCGAAGGCGGCUCACUGGUCCGGUACUGACGCUGAGGUGCGAAAGCGUGGGGAGCAAACAGG
rnacentral:rRNA from 1 species